UGGGGAAUCUUGGACAAUGGGGGCAACCCUGAUCCAGCGAUGCCGCGUGAGUGAAGAAGGCCUUCGGGUCGUAAAGCUCUUUAGGUUGGGACGAAGGUUAUGAGGGGAUAAUCCUUGUAGCUUGACGGUACUAACAGAAUAAGCACCGGCAAACUCUGUGCCAGCAGCCGCGGUAAUACAGAGGGUGCGAGCGUUAAUCGGAAUUACUGGGCGUAAAGGGCGCGUAGGCGGUUGAUUGGGUGUGAUGUGAAAGCCUUGGGCUUAACCUGAGAAGUGCAUCGCAAACUAAUUGACUGGAGUAGAUGAGAGGGUGGCGGAAUUUCCGGUGUAGCGGUGAAAUGCGUAGAGAUCGGAAGGAACGUCAAUGGCGAAGGCAGCCACCUGGCAUCAUACUGACGCUGAGGCGCGAGAGCGUGGGGAGCGAACAG
rnacentral:rRNA from 1 species